CAGCAGCCGCGGUAAAACGGAGGGUGCAAGCGUUAAUCGGAAUUACUGGGCGUAAAGCGCACGCAGGCGGUCUGACAAGUCAGAUGUGAAAUCCCCGGGCUUAACCUGGGAACUGCAUUUGAAACUGUCAGGCUGGAGUCUUGUAGAGGGGGGUAGAAUUCCAGGUGUAGCGGUGAAAUGCGUAGAGAUCUGGAGGAAUACCGGUGGCGAAGGCGGCCCCCUGGACAAAGACUGACGCUCAGGUGCGAAAGCGUGGGGAGCAAACAGGAUUAGAUACCCCAGUAGUCCCUGUCUCUUAUAC
rnacentral:rRNA from 1 species